rnacentral:rRNA from 1 species
CCUACGGGUGGCGGCAGUGGGGAAUAUUGGACAAUGGGGGGAACCCUGAUCCAGCCAUGCCGCGUGUGUGAAGAAGGCCCUCGGGUUGUAAAGCACUUUCAGUGAUGAAGAACGCCUGGUGGUUAAUACCCAUCAGGAAAGACAUCACUCACAGAAGAAGCACCGGCUAACUCCGUGCCAGCAGCCGCGGUAAUACGGAGGGUGCGAGCGUUAAUCGGAAUUACUGGGCGUAAAGCGCGCGUAGGUGGCUUGAUAAGCCGGUUGUGAAAGCCCCGGGCUCAACCUGGGAACGGCAUCCGGAACUGUCAAGCUAGAGUGCAGGAGAGGAAGGUAGAAUUCCCGGUGUAGCGGUGAAAUGCGUAGAGAUCGGGAGGAAUACCAGUGGCGAAGGCGGCCUUCUGGACUGACACUGACACUGAGGUGCGAAAGCGUGGGUAGCAAACAGGAUUAGAUACCCGUGUAGUC